UGCUUAUAUUAAUUACAUUUUUUCAUUACCCAUCAAGUUUUCUACAGGCUUGUGUAUUAUUACUGUAAAAUGUAAUGAAACAGAGAAGGAAAAAAGAAUGGACUUCUGGGAAAUUUUCCAAUUCUUGAAAUGCAAUGUUAAUUGAGUGCUAUUUUUAGGUCAUCACAGGCAGAGCUGAACCCAUUGCCAUCAGUGCACAGAAUGGGGACAGUCCAGGUGCAGCACAGACUGGGUGAGGGUAUCGGUUUCUACUGAUGGAGGAAAAAGGAGAGAAAGUAACUCCCCAGAGAGCUGUGUUGGGAAUGGACUGGAGAUUUAAACCCUAACUCAGAGCAGGAGAAAUGAGGACCCAUUAAUUCUUAUGAAAAAAAAAAAAAAAGCCAUUUCAAGCCAAAGCCCUAACAUAAAUGAAUUUGGCAUGUUCAGGAGUGGACCAUCACUUCCAUGAUGAGAUCAAUGGAUACAAUUUAAACUUUGCAGCCCUGUCCUUCUGGAUUGCUUUUGGAACCACAAGCACUUUACAGAGCACUACUCUGCAAACUCUGCUCCUUUGGGUAGCUGUGGAAUGAAAAGGAAGGAAAACAUACUACAACCCUCAACUGACAGCAAAAGUGCCAUAAGCAGUGAUGUGAUAGCCUGGAUGCUAGAAGAUGCUUGAUACAUUUAAGACUGCUGCCAUUCUCCUGUACUUCUAUGAGAGAUACCAUUGACCUGCACCUUUGCCUUGAGUCACCAAUUUAAAGACAACUACUGCUUAAUGGGGCACACAAAAUGAAUUAUUAGUCUUGGUUCUGGCCUAAGUGUCUGGAGACUCAGACCUUCACUGGCCCCAUGCAGAAGGCCAAGGACUGACAGAAGCACCAGCAAAAGAGAAGUCCCAAGAGGUCAAGGGAGGGGGCAUUGCAGACUAAUAAACUCUGCUACUAGGAGGAGAACUUUGUUCAACUUCUGAUGCCAAGAAGGACAGCCUGGACUGGCAGGUACUUAGCACUUCUGAAAUGCAAGCUCAAGGCAGGCUUUGUUGAACGUCUAAACUUGGGGAAGUCUUUCUGGAAACAUGAUGGAAAAUACUGGCUCAAAUAUUGCUGGAGAAUGGAGAUCAAGCACAUCCAGGAGAAGGGUGACUGGUUGGGAUCGCAUCCGGGAAGCACCACACUAACUCAAGAAUGAGCUGGUUAGAGAAGAAACUGUGCUUUGCUAGUCAUGGCAUGAGAAGGGGGUCCCAGAAAGCACAAAACAUAGAUCCAAGUAAAACAUCUCCCCCAAAACUACUUUGUUGGAACUUUCCCCUUUAAAUUAUUUUGUCUUAUUUUCCCCCUUCUGGUCUCUCUCACAAGCACGGAGGCCCGGUGGCUCUGCUUAAAUAACACAUCUACAGUUUUGCAAUAUCUGUUUGAACUAUAGCAAUUAAAUGGAAAAUAGAAAAAUCAGCUCAGCAUCCUGUUUGGAUGUAAUUAAAGGUAUAAUCUGUUCCAUUUGAAUACUUCAGUGCUUACCCUUCUUAAAACAACAAAUAAGAAUAGGAGCUCAUUUGCAAUAUGGGGUUUUUUUCUCCAAGCCAGCUAAAAAGACUGAACUGAUGAAGCAGGAAUAAUUUUUAAGUGUGGCAUAAGCACAAAAAUACCAACUGCAGCUUUUGAGUGGCUGCUGCAGAUCCCACAUCUGAGGGGAGUUCAGUAUAAGCUUUAUGGUAAAACAUCUUUCACUGCUUGGUAUCAGCGUCUUGGUAUGGCUGCUGUAAUUACCUGUCGAAUGCAUCAGCCAAGUACAUCAGUGGAAUGAAUAUCAGAGGAUACCCAAAAAUACAGAAGGGGGAUGUGUAUCAGCUCAGCCUGUUUGGGGCUGUUUGACCUGCAGGUCUUUUCCUAACAAUAAAAGACAAAUAUCACAUUCAUCGCCCCUUUGUUUUCUGUAGGCAGCUGAUGAUUUUACAGCAUAAAAUCAGCUUAUUAAUGGCUGGCUUAUGAAUUUUAGCUGGGGCUUUUUUUCCUCCUAUUGGACAUUUCUCUACUGCUCAAAGAAAUUGAAGUCAGGUGUAAAGUUAAUAUCUGCCUUGUUCAUUUAUUCAUAUUGUAAGCAAUCAAGAUUUUCCCAAAUCACAGGGCAAUCUCUCACCUUCUGAGAAUUAAUAUAGGCCCUGUUCUCUCAGUUUAACAAACCAACUGGCAUAAGUUCAAUGGAACCUAUGAUUAUUCUGAGAGGUUAUGGCAAACCACAGAAGUUGUUAGUGAAAAGCUUGCUUGUAAGAUCCCCUAAGAGGAAAAGUAUAUGGAUAUUCUAAAAUGUAAUAGUGUAUUCCAACACUAUGAGACAGGAACAUCAGCUGGAACCUGCUGCACACGGAGAGCUUCAGCUUGCCCAGCAACCACCACUCCUGGAAGGGCAAAGGACACGAGGAGCACCAGAGGGGACUGCGUGUUGCUGCAGAGAAAGGCAGCAGUGCAGGUUCUUGACAGCAGGGGCUCCUUCCCAUGCUGCUCCCUGUGUUCAGCUGCUCGCUCCCUUCCUCCUUCCUUCAUGGGCACUUCACUGGUUCCAGGACCCAACCAGACAGAGCAAUGCUUCUCCUAAUUUUCACUACCAAGAAGAGCAGAUGGGAGGGGAGAAAGAAGAAAAUAGCAAAGAGGAAAGAGAGAGAUGACACCAGUAAACAAGAAGUGCACUGUCUGAUAACAAAUCGUACAGUGAAUAAGGACAGACGCUGCAGACAAGCGUUUGCUAUGAACACUGCCAACUGGGGGAAAAUUUGCACUCAGAAGAGGUGGUAACACUGCUGCAAACAAGAACUACUACAGGAACACUACGAGUGCAGCAGAGAGAGUCCCUUCACGUGGAACAGCGCGCGGGGCAUCACGCACAGUGAGUCUGCGCUCUGCAGGCAGGCGGGACUGAGGUCAGAGAACACAGACUGCUCUCACAUGGCACAGCAAGCAAUGGGGAGUUACACCUGAUGUCCGUAAAUGGCCCCAGGGAGACAAAAGACGGCAACAGCCACCAAAAUUGGGGCACAAAACCCCUUCUGCCUGCGCCAGUCACCCACAGGAUUAACCUGCAAACUGUAUGGACACAACAUCAAGUCCCUGUCACCUCCACCUCUGCAACAGAAAUGGGGGUAAUGACAGGAGUCUCUCCUGAAUUUAAUAAACCCCUGUGCAUGUUCUGCUGUGUCUGUAAUCUCCAGUGGUAGAAUAACCUGGAGACUGAUUUAUCUUCAAUGUUACAGCCAACACUGUCAUAGUGGAAUCAUUUAGUGGCCCUGAAACACAGCUUUCCGGAAAACACCUUGGACAUACACAUCUUCACACUGUUAAAAAGCCCACCCCCCCCAACUGUUGGCACCUGUCCCUGCAACUGCCAAAGUUCCAAAAACUGGGAAUAUCUAUGAAUUACCAACCUGUCUCGUCACCUGUAUUUCAGUUUUCUGGGGUUCAGGUGCUCUGCAACUCCCCUUUGAGAAGUGGCAGAAUUUACACCAUUUUCUAGAGAAAUCAAAAUAUAAAGACCCCCAAACUAUAACCUCUCCCUCCCAGCCUUAUCCCCAAUACCCGGCCACCUGCCACAGCACUGGCUGUAGCAAUGCCAUUACCUAAUAAAAACUUCUCACUAUUUUCUCUUCAUUUAGCUUCUAUCAGUCAGGUGUCUGCAGUUGUGAGCUCUGCAAACCCAGUCCAGUUUUACUUCUCUCUCCCAUGUUCUGUGUUCCUCAUCAUGUCUACUGCUUUUACUGCAACUAAAUCAUUUUUAUGUUUUGUGAAGGCAUAGUAAGAAACUGAUAAAACUAAAUGACAAUUUAGACACCUAUUUGAAGUUACAUUAAACUUUACAUUCGUAGAGGACAAGUGGAUAAACCACUCUCGGCAUGGUAAACCUUUUACUGCGGUGUAUAAAGAUGAAUGGUUUUACCUCUAUUUUGAAAUGGGAUAACUAUAAAUAUUCAUUUACUAGAUUCACUGCUGGCAAGGCUGCAUCACAGAUUUGUUUCAUUAAAAUUCACAACAGUAUAAAUCUAUGAAUCUUUAACUGUAUUUGUACUUCCUUGAGAAGAUGCUGCACAUUCUCCUCCAAUCUUAAUUAUCUUUGUUCUGCCUAAUGAUACAGGACUUUUGUACUCAACUCUCUCAUCACCUCCAUUGACAAAUUAAGUAAAUAGAAAAGGCCCACGUUUUAUUUUGCUGUAAUUACAUUCCCUGGGUAAGACUUGAAAGAAUACUUAAAAUUAAUCAGUAAAUUUAUGCACAGAGAAAAAAAAAUAAAGCAAACACCGAGACUGAAAUGGAGCAACACAACAACAACAAAAUCACAGACAUUACCAACCGGUUUGUGUUUUCUUGGACCUGUUUCCCCAUGAACUAAAAGCACUAUGAAAUACUCUGUACAUUGCAGACUGAGCAGCCCAGCAUUUGUCCCAGAUUUUUUUAAUCUCCCAAAUUCCUAUUUGCAGAUAAAUGUUAUUUUUUGUGCUCUGUACAGACAUUAAUGAAGUUCCUAUUGUAAAUCUAUAAAGAAUUACCAACUGAAGUGUGCAGUUUUUGUUUCAUUGCAAUAACUCAGUGCUGUGUGAUUGCCUGGGUUAAUGAUGAAAAAGUCAAAUAUACUAUCAGAGCUGAUGGAAAAAUCUAUCACCAAUCUGAAAUUAAAAUUCAUCUGUGGUCAAUAAGAUUUAAUAUCCAUGCAAGUGGCGCUGUAAAGAGUAAAUGAAUCAAUGUCAUCAAUACAUAAUCAGUAUGAAAUAUGAUGUGAAUAAAAUUAUGUGCAAGAGUCAUACAUUCACUCUUUUCUGGACCAGGGUGGAAUGAACUGUCUCUUAACUCAAGGUUGACAGUAAUUGUUACAAAUUAGGCACAGCAGUUAUCAAAAUGCACUCACUUGCAUAGCUUUAGGACUUAUUAAGGAGAUUAAAAUAGAUCUAAAACUAUCUAGUUUCAGAGUUACAGGACAACUGUUGAUCAGGGAUUUUUUCUUCUUCUCCUCUCUCUGACUUGUACAAUCAUUAUUUACUCAUUUAGCUAGAAAGCAGGAGCCUAUCAACCACUGAGAUACACAAUCUCUAGUUGAGCUAUUAGCGUUAGGGAGCGAUAAGAAAAGCACACUUUGGUUUUUAAACCAGAGUUGUAACACACAAAACAGACGAGAAAAUACUCCUGAAAAAGUACCCCAGGAUGCUCCCUCAGCUAAACCCCUGAACAGUGAAGUGAAAUACACUGGUUCAGUUCAGGAGCCCUUCUCUUCGCAAGACAUUUAUUUCCACAUUAAAGGCUCUAAUUUUCCUCCCACAGAAACCUGCUCUCUUGUAGCCCUUAUUUUCAAGGUUGUGGAAUUAAAUACUUCUCUUUUUUAAGAGUUUGUAUUAAAGGAUGCUCUCCACUUUGCUUUGGACAUCAGGAGUUCAACAGCUGUACAGAUGCACAUGCCCAAACCAAAAUAAAUUGACUCCCUCCCCCUGUAUGUCAGAUUUAAAAGGUUAGUGCUUUCUCCCCAUGCCCCACACCUAUGUUACUUAAGUAAGUUUGGUUACUUAAAGGUCUCCUUGCAGGGGUGGGGAACA